AUUGAACGCUGGCGGCAGGCUUAACACAUGCAAGUCGAGCGGGGGAGGUUGCUUCGGUAACUGACCUAGCGGCGGACGGGUGAGUAAUGCUUAGGAAUCUGCCUAUUAGUGGGGGGCAACAUUCCGAAAGGGAUGCUAAUACCGCAUACGCCCUACGGGGGAAAGCAGGGGAUCUUCGGACCUUGCGCUAAUAGAUGAGCCUAAGUCGGAUUAGCUAGUUGGUGGGGUAAAGGCCUACCAAGGCGACGAUCUGUAGCGGGUCUGAGAGGAUGAUCCGCCACACUGGGACUGAGACACGGCCCAGACUCCUACGGGAGGCAGCAGUGGGGAAUAUUGGACAAUGGGCGGAAGCCUGAUCCAGCCAUGCCGCGUGUGUGAAGAAGGCCUCUUGGUUGUAAAGCACUUUAAGCGAGGAGGAGGCUCUUAAGGUUAAUACCCUUGAUGAGUGGACGUUACUCGCAGAAUAAGCACCGGCUAACUCUGUGCCAGCAGCCGCGGUAAAAC
rnacentral:rRNA from 1 species